rnacentral:rRNA from 1 species
UAGGGAAUCUUCCGCAAUGGGCGAAAGCCUGACGGAGCAACGCCGCGUGAGUGAUGAAGGUCUUCGGAUCGUAAAACUCUGUUAUUAGGGAAGAACAAAUGUGUAAGUAACUAUGCACGUCUUGACGGUACCUAAUCAGAAAGCCACGGCUAACUACGUGCCAGCAGCCGCGGUAAUACGUAGGUGGCAAGCGUUAUCCGGAAUUAUUGGGCGUAAAGCGCGCGUAGGCGGUUUUUUAAGUCUGAUGUGAAAGCCCACGGCUCAACCGUGGGGGGUCAUUGGAAACUGGAAAACUUGAGUGCAGAAGAGGAGAGUGGAAUUCCAUGUGUAGCGGUGAAAUGCGCAGAGAUAUGGAGGAACACCAGUGGCGAAGGCGACUUUCUGGGCUGUAACUGACGCUGAUGUGCGAAAGCGUGGGGAUCAAACAGG